GACGAACGCUGGCGGCGUGCUUAACACAUGCAAGUCGAACGAAGAGCGACGGAAGCUUGCUUCUAUCAAUCUUAGUGGCGAACGGGUGAGUAACGCGUAAUCAACCUGCCCUUCAGAGGGGGACAACAGUUGGAAACGACUGCUAAUACCGCAUACGAUCUAAUCUCGGCAUCGAGGAUGGAUGAAAGGUGGCCUCUACAUGUAAGCUAUCACUGAAGGAGGGGAUUGCGUCUGAUUAGCUAGUUGGAGGGGUAACGGCCCACCAAGGCGGUGAUCAGUAGCCGGUCUGAGAGGAUGAACGGCCACAUUGGGACUGAGACACGGCCCAGACUCCUACGGGAGGCAGCAGUGGGGAAUCUUCCGCAAUGGACGAAAGUCUGACGGAGCAACGCCGCGUGAGUGAUGACGGCCUUCGGGUUGUAAAGCUCUGUUAAUCGGGACGAAAGGCCUUCUUGCGAAUAGUGAGAAGGAUUGACGGUACCGGAAUAGAAAGCCACGGCUAACUACGUG
rnacentral:rRNA from 1 species